rnacentral:rRNA from 1 species
GCUUGUCUCAAAGAUUAAGCCAUGCAUGUCUAAGUAUAAGCCUUUACACGGUGAGACUGCGAAUGGCUCAUUAAAUCAGAAACUGUUUAUUUGAUAGUGCCUACUACUUGGAUAACCGUAGUAAUUCUAGAGCUAAUACAUGCAAAAAGCCUGGACUUCUGGAACAGGCGUAUUUAUUAGAUACAAAACCAAUGCGGGUUCUGCUCGCCAUUGUGUUGAAUCAUAGUAACUUAUCGAACGCCAUAGCCUUGUGCUGGGCGUAGAUCAUUCAAAUUUCUGCCCUAUCAGCUUUCGACGGUAGUGUAGUGGACUACCGUGGCGUUAACGGGUAACGGGGAAUUAGGGUUCGAUUCCGGAGAGGGAGCCUGAGAAACGGCUACCACAUCCAAGGAAGGCAGCAGG